GACGAACGCUGGCGGCGUGCCUAAUACAUGCAAGUCGAACGCAGUGGGGACGGGUGCGUAACACGUGGGUAACAUCCCAUAAGAGGGGAAAACACUUGGAAACAGGUGCUAAAACCGAACCGGAAGGAUGAACCCGCGGUGCAUUAGCUAGUUGGUGAGGUAACGUCUUAACAAGGCCACGAUGCAUAGCCGCCCGUAUAGGGGGAUCGGCCACACUGGAACUGAGACACGGCCCAGACUCCUACGGGAGGCAGCAGUAGGGAAUCUUCGGCAAUGGACGAAAGUCUGACCGAGCAACGCCGCGUGAGUGAAGAAGGUUUUCGGAUCGUAAAACUCUGUUGUUAGAGAAGCGGUAUCUAACCAGAAAGCCACGGCUAACUACGUGCCAGCCGCCGCGGUAAUUC
rnacentral:rRNA from 1 species